rnacentral:rRNA from 1 species
GAUGAACGCUGGCGACGUGCCUAAUGCAUGCAAGUCGCACGCACAGCCCUUCGGGGCUGUGAGUGGCGGACGGCUGAGGAACACGUGGGUAUCUGCCCUCCAGUGGGGGACAACAUGCCGAAAGGCGUGCUAAUCCCGCAUACGUUCCCUCUUUACCGAGGGAAGAAAGACCUUACGGCGCUGGAAGAGGAGCCUGCGGCCC